UACGGGGGGGGCAAGCGUUGUUCGGAAUUACUGGGCGUAAAGGGCUCGUAGGUGGCCAACUAAGUCGGACGUGAAAUCCCCAGGCUCAACCUGGGAACUGCGUCCGAUACUGGAUGGCUUGAAUUCGGGAGAGGGAUGCAGAAUUCCAGGUGUAGCGGUGAAAUGCGUAGAUAUCUGGAGGAAUACCGGUGGCGAAGGCGGCAUCCUGGACCGACAUUGACGCUGAUGAGCGAAAGCUAGGGGAGCAAACGGG
rnacentral:rRNA from 1 species